rnacentral:rRNA from 1 species
CAGCAGCCGCGGGAAUACGAAGGGGGCUAGCGUUGUUCGGAUUUACUGGGCGUAAAGCGCACGUAGGCGGACUUUUAAGUCAGGGGUGAAAUCCCGGGGCUCAACCCCGGAACUGCCUUUGAUACUGGGAGUCUUGAGUUCGAGAGAGGUGAGUGGAAUUGCGAGUGUAGAAGUGAAAUUCGUAGAUAUUCGCAGGAACACCAGUGGCGAAGGCGGCUCACUGGCUCGAUACUGACGCUGAGGUGCGAAAGCGUGGGGAGCAAACAGGAUUAGAUACCCGUGUAGUCCCUGUCUCUUAUAC